rnacentral:rRNA from 1 species
UACGUAGGGGGCAAGCGUUGUCCGGAAUUAUUGGGCGUAAAGAGCGUGUAGGCGGUCCGGUAAGUCGGCUGUGAAAGUCCAGGGCUCAACCCUGGGAUGCCGGUCGAUACUGCCGGACUAGAGUUCGGAAGAGGCGAGUGGAAUUCCCGGUGUAGCGGUGAAAUGCGUAGAUAUCGGGAAGAACACCAGUGGCGAAAGGCGCUCUCA